CAGUAGCCGCGGGAAUACGUAGGUGGCAAGCGUUGUCCGGAAUUAUUGGGCGUAAAGGGCUCGCAGGCGGUUUCUUAAGUCUGAUGUGAAAGCCCCCGGCUCAACCGGGGAGGGUCAUUGGAAACUGGGAAACUUGAGUGCAGAAGAGGAGAGUGGAAUUCCACGUGUAGCGGUGAAAUGCGUAGAGAUGUGGAGGAACACCAGUGGCGAAGGCGACUCUCUGGUCUGUAACUGACGCUGAGGCGCGAAAGCGUGGGGAGCAAACAGGAUUAGAUACCCCUGUAGUCCCUGUCUCUUAUAU
rnacentral:rRNA from 1 species